GCAACUCUUGGCUUUGGCUCUCGUUUUCCUCUUCCUGCUUGAUUUCUCUCUCCAGCUUUUGAAAGUCCGAAUCCUCUGAGGUUUUUGUCUGCUCCUCGCUUUCCUGGGCGACAUCAGAGACCUGGGUCAUCUCAGACUCCUGUUCUCCAUCCAGCAGGGCGCACUCCACCUCCAUCUGCAGAAAGGUCAGACAAAGGUCUUUGAUCUUCUGCUCCAGCUCUUCGAUGUUGUUCAGCACCUGGAUUCUCUCUUCCUCUAAAUGAGACACUUCCUGUUUCAGCUGCAUGCUCUCCAAGGCCUGUAACGACACCGAGAAUGGAAAUAAA